rnacentral:tRNA from 1 species
GGGUUGCUAGCUCAAUCGGUUAGUAGCAUCUGGCUCAUAACCAGGGGGUUCUGGGUUCGAGUCCCAGGCAGCCCA